UAUAUAAUUCAAGAGGAACUAAGUGUAGGUGGCAUAACAAAUGGUUGCUCAGCUGAGCUAUCAUGCGGAAGUAUUUUUACAACUGAAGUAAAGUACUCUUCUUCUUCAGACUUUCCUGUCUCAUCGUGAAUAUCAAAUUCGUCUUCAGGUUCCUCAUAUUCAAUAUUUUCUUCUAGUUCUUGAAAAUCUGGAGCAAACGCACUCCAACUUUCUUUUUGUUCGACCGCCCAUAUAUAAAUACUUCCAGAAUCUAAACCAACGGAAGCUACACAAGGAAAUACUGGGUGCCAGUCUACGUCGACUAGCUCUUCUUUCGGACCUUCCAGUAUUUUUACUAAAGAUCCCAUGCCUCUCUCCCAUACGUAUAUCGCAUGAGCCAUUUGAUAAGUAGUAGCAAAAACAAACUCACCAGUUUGACUGAAUCCGCAUGAAUUCCAUUGCAAUCGAUUGACUACAUCUUGAAAUUUAUGCUCAACUUCAGGAUUGUCAAGGUCUUGAAUACUGACUGUACGGAUAACGCGAUCUGUAGAAUUGAAUAUCAAAAACCUCUUGCAAAAGCUAAGUCGAAUUUGCUUUAUACUUUGUGAGGUGAUCCGAUGGGAAGACCUGAUUUUAGUAGUAGAUGCAUCAAUAACAUGAAACCAACCCUUUGAGGUACCUGAUAAUAUGUAUUCUCCAGAAGGAUGAAAAAAAGAAACAAGUGUAACAUGCUUAGAUCUAUUUCUCCUGUCUGAAUAAUUCUCGUCUAUAUCUGGGUUUGUUGGAAGGUAUUUGUGUUUUGGUAUACCAUCAUCAACAAUAAUUAAUUGAGGAGACUCGUCGAGGAGUGAUGCAACAAAUGUAUUGAUUUUAUGAGGGUGCAGGCUAGCUGACCAAACUGGAGCUGACAACACAACUUGAUAAACAAUGGAUCCAUCUCUCAAAUCCCAUAAAAUGCAUUUCCAAUCUCUAGAGGCAGUCAGUAGAAACCUGUCACAGCUGGACCAACAAACUGAUUGUAUAGCUCGUGUAUGGCCUGUCAAUACUCUUGAUACAGAGAAAGUUGAUAAAUCCCAUAUAACCACAGAGCCGUUGACAAGACCGGAGGCAAGAUGAUACCCGUUUGUACUAAAUCUAAUACUGGUAGCGUGGCCAUGCUUCAAAGUAGUUGUUAAUGCUUCAGGAUAAUCCGGAAUAGAGAAUGGAUCAAGUAAUUCCAAGUUCAUGUCGCUGAUGAAGUAUUUGUAAUUUUUUCUUUUUAAAUGUUGCAGCUCAAAAUUUCAACAGCCACUCAAAUCACCAGCUGCGAAAAUACAAAAACUUAGAAUAAUCUGUUCAUUUACAAAUUACCAUACAAAAAUACUUUACAUUCUUCAAGGGGGUGUUUAAAAUUGCAGAGGAACCAGUUAGUCUCACUCGAAUUCUAUAAUAACACUGUGAGUGAAACAAAUACCGACACUUGGUGUUGUUGGUUAAGUGUUAAAUAGUAUCUCGAAGAUCUACUUCAAGAAUUACCUUCUUCCUCUAGAUAAAUAAAUCCUAUAUUUCAAAAGAACUGAAAUAUAUUUCGGCGUUUUCAAGUGCAAUCUUUAAAAAUAACUAUUUUCCCUAAUCACAACUACACCUUGCAACAACAAGUUCUAGAUAAUUUAUUUAUUUUAUCGACACAACGAUAAAAAUAAAGAAAAACAGCUAUUUAAUAAAUUUAUCCUCGGGGGAAAAUGAAACUGCAUUCUUUAAAAUGUACAGCCUUACG
rnacentral:lncRNA from 1 species